rnacentral:rRNA from 1 species
CGUAGGUGGCAAGCGUUGUCCGGAUUUAUUGGGUUUAAAGGGUGCGUAGGCGGCCCUGUAAGUCAGUGGUGAAAUACUCCAGCUUAACUGGAGGGGUGCCAUUGAUACUGCAGGGCUUGAGUGGAGUCGAGGUAGGCGGAAUUGACGGUGUAGCGGUGAAAUGCUUAGAUAUCGUCAAGAACACCGAUAGUGUAGACAGCUUACUAGGCUUCAACUGACGCUGAGGCACGAAAGUGUGGGGAUCAAACAGGAUUAGAUACCCUGGUAGUCCACACUGUAAACGUUGAUUACUCGCUGUUGGCGAUACACAGUCAGCGGCUAAGCGCAAGCGAUAAGUAAUCCACCUGGGGAGUACGCCGGCAACGGUG